rnacentral:rRNA from 1 species
GAUUUCUGGCGUGGUGUGACUGGCCCGCCGUGGUUACACGUGUGAGCGCCGGUUUUUUACACCUGCCAUUCUUCUAGAGUACCCAACUGCCCUUCACUGGUGUGUGUUGGGUCUAUUCUAGAUCUUUUACUUUGAAAAAAUUAGAGUGUUUAAAGCAGGCAUUUUGCUGUGAAUACAUUAGCAUGGAAUAAUAAUUUAGGACUUCGGCCCUAUUUUGUUGGCUUUCAGGACUGAAGUAAUGAUUGAUAGGGAUAGUUGGGGGUGCUAGUAUUCAGCGGCCAGAGGUGAAAUUCUUGGAUUCGCUGAAGACUAACUUAUGCGAAAGCAUU